rnacentral:lncRNA from 1 species
UUGCGUUGUAACAAAACGAAUAGAAAAACUUUCCAUUUAUUUUCCAUUUUCGAGCAUUACGAUAUGUUUGCACGCAAUUACGUACCAAGGUGUUACUGUGGCAAACGUGCAAUUUUGAAGCCAUGUUGGUCAAAUUGCAAUCUGGGGUGCAGACGUUGGAUGUGUAAACAAGUUGUAAGUUAUUAUUCUUGGAUGAAAUUUUUGUUAAUACUUUUUAUAUAACAUGUUAAUUAAUAGUUUUGUGUUAUUCUCUCAUUCGUAUGACGAAAAGAAAUGUGGUUUUAAUGAAUGGUAUGAUGAACCAAUUAAUCAAGAAUACGACAAAUCAUGUUUGCUAAAAAUUUGGAAUCUGACCGUUGAAUACGAACUCCAGAUCAUGAAACUACAAGAAUAAUUUGCGGCAUUGCAGGAGAAACUAAAAGAGGCAGAAGAAGAAAAAAAUAGGUUGGAGGAGAAAUUUAAGUGGUUGAAGCACAGAAUAAUGGGCGAUAGUGACUAAACAAAUACAUUGAUGCGUUGAGUGUAGUAUUUUAGUUUUAUGUUGUAUGUGUCAUGUAUUAUCUUUAAUUAGUAAAGAAUUUAAAUUUUAUGUUAAGCUGUCAUUUUUUUGUGUUGAAGUGUUAAACUAAUAAAUAUCUCGAGAAAUAAAAAC